rnacentral:rRNA from 1 species
CGGGUGAGUAACACGUGAGUAACCUGCCCUUAACUCUGGGAUAAGCCUGGGAAACUGGGUCUAAUACCGGAUAUGACUCCUCAUCGCAUGGUGGGGGGUGGAAAGCUUUAUUGUGGUUUUGGAUGGACUCGCGGCCUAUCAGCUUGUUGGUGAGGUAAUGGCUCACCAAGGCGACGACGGGUAGCCGGCCUGAGAGGGUGACCGGCCACACUGGGACUGAGACACGGCCCAGACUCCUACGGGAGGCAGCAGUGGGGAAUAUUGCACAAUGGGCGAAAGCCUGAUGCAGCGACGCCGCGUGAGGGAUGACGGCCUUCGGGUUGUAAACCUCUUUCAGUAGGGAAGAAGCGAAAGUGACGGUACCUGCAGAAGAAGCGCCGGCUAACUACGUGCCAGCAGCCGCGGUAAUACGUAGGGCGCAAGCGUUAUCCGGAAUUAUUGGGCGUAAAGAGCUCGUAGGCGGUUUGUCGCGUCUGCCGUGAAAGUCCGGGGCUCAACUCCGGAUCUGCGGUGGGUACGGGCAGACUAGAGUGAUGUAGGGGAGACUGGAAUUCCUGGUGUAGCGGUGAAAUGCGCAGAUAUCAGGAGGAACACCGAUGGCGAAGGCAGGUCUCUGGGCAUUAACUGACGCUGAGGAGCGAAAGCAUGGGGAGCGAACAGGAUUAGAUACCCUGGUAGUCCAUGCCGUAAACGUUGGGCACUAGGUGUGGGGGGACAUUCCACGUUUUCCGCGCCGUAGCUAACGCAUUAAGUGCCCCGCCUGGGGAGUACGGCCGCAAGGCUAAAACUCAAAGGAAUUGACGGGGGCCCGCACAAGCGGCGGAGCAUGCGGAUUAAUUCGAUGCAACGCGAAGAACCUUACCAAGGCUUGACAUGAACCGGAAAUACCUGGAAACAGGUGCCCCGCUUGCGGUCGGUUUACAGGUGGUGCAUGGUUGUCGUCAGCUCGUGUCGUGAGAUGUUGGGUUAAGUCCCGCAACGAGCGCAACCCUCGUUCUAUGUUGCCAGCGCGUUAUGGCGGGGACUCAUAGGAGACUGCCGGGGUCAACUCGGAGGAAGGUGGGGACGACGUCAAAUCAUCAUGCCCCUUAUGUCUUGGGCUUCACGCAUGCUACAAUGGCCGGUACAAAGGGUUGCGAUACUGUGAGGUGGAGCUAAUCCCAAAAAGCCGGUCUCAGUUCGGAUUGGGGUCUGCAACUCGACCCCAUGAAGUCGGAGUCGCUAGUAAUCGCAGAUCAGCAACGCUGCGGUGAAUACGUUCCCGGGCCUUGUACACACCGCCCGUCAAGUCACGAAAGUUGGUAACACCCGAAGCCGGUGGCCUAACCCCUUGUG